rnacentral:lncRNA from 10 species
GCUCUGACUUGGAGUUAACAUUUUGUUUCUUUCAGCUGGAACUUUAAUUUAUUUUUAUGGAUAUUGGUAAAAUGUGUUUUUUUAAAUAUCUGCAGUGUUUUCCUGGUGCAGUAGUAGCGUAUUUUCCCCCUACCGGUUCUGUGUGGUUGAAAUGGAAGGGUGGCUUUUUCAUUUAAUUCAGUCUUUCAUACUAACAAAAACACUCUUAUUUGUUCUUCAUUUAUCUUUGUUGUGAUCCCAGGCUCCAGGGGUCAGGCUUUGAGUUGUCAGGUGGUAAUUUGUUGGAGCAAUUUUAGAGAACACGCAUGAAUUGAUACUGUUGUGUCUGGUGUCUGGUGGCCCAGCUUGAUGGAUCCUGAAGCACAAGCUCAUUUCCUGAUAACUCCAUCAUUCCUAUUUUCUCUCAACAUUAUAGAAGGGUACCUAAUGACAGAAUAUAUCCCUCUUGCGUUUUGUGGCUAAAGCUAUUUGGGUGUAAUUGCCAAAGGUAUUCACUCUACCUGAAAGGGUGAGAGCCAAGAAAAAGAAGUGCCUAGCUGUGAGGAAGUUCAGAACAUGAUAAAAUAUACCUCUUAGUACAUAGAGAGAGCAUCACAUGGAGCCCUGGACAUUUCUGUUUGUUGAUGCUCCUAUUCUGCCACAUGUGCUAAUCCUCUACCCUUACGGGAUCAUCGUCCAUCCUGCUUCAGCCAGUUUGGACCACCAUUCUGUAACAUGCCAUCAUGAGAAUCAGAAUGUUGAGGAGUCUUCAUCGAGGUGUCCUCUUUCCUCCCCAAUCAACUUCUUGCACUUUUAACUCUUCCUGGGUCAGCUUCACCUGCCUCCUGCAAGACCCAGUUAAAUCAGGAAGAAAGAUUCCAGGCUUCAUAUGUAUACUCUCCUUUUACUUCCUUAUGAAGUUGAACAGAUAGGACAUGCCACAGACAAUAGAAAGUGAAUAGAAUUGGGCUUGAAGUAAAAGAAAUGGGAUUGGGUAUUUGGGGAGAGGAGGGACAAGGAGACUUUCUAACCAUGUGCAGAUAUGAUCAUCUUAAACAGCCCAAUAAGAAGUUCCAGAGCACAGAUUGCCCAACAGAAGAGUCCGGCAUUGGGCAGAAGUGGGUCGUCCUUACGACCCCCACUGCACUAGCUUAUUGGUGAGGGCUUUUCCUGGAAGAGUGAAGCUCAGCUCAAAAGAGCAUGGACAUAGAGAAUGGAAUGAUAGAGAUUAGAGGUUGGAAAGGGUGGGAGGGUAGGAGAGGGGUGAGGGGUGAGAAAUUACUUAAUGGGUACAAUGUAUAUUAUUCAUGUGCUAGAUACACUAAAAGCCUACACUACACCACUAUGCAAUAUAUUCAUGUAACAAAACCACACAUGUACUUCUUACAUUUUCUUUAAUGCUGAAGUAGAUCCUGCGGUAACUAACACAUAGAGUCUAGCUUAACUCUUUGCAGUUGAAGAGCAGGUUAUAUUUUGAAAGGAGAUACGAGUGACAAUCCCAUGGUGGCCACGUCUCUGGGCUUACAGAUGCCUAAGACUUUGAUCCUUGGUUAAAAUCCUUUCAAAAUCAACAAACACAAGAAAUAUAUAGAAGUAUACCAGAUCUAAACUAAAAGUUUUUUUUUACAUUGCUAUGUAUGCUCCACUAUUCCAAAUAAGCGUCCAAGUACACUAUAGUUGGGUUUUCAAAAUUGCUUAUUUUAUAAUCUCUAACGGACUAGCAACAACCAAAAAGGUAUGAAAGCUGAAAGGACCUCAUGAAUAAAGGGCUUCUUGAGUUCAGUUGGAUCUUGCCUAAGUCAGUCUUAUGUCCCAUGAUCAAACACAUCUUUGAGCAAUAUAGGCUUGGGAUAUACAGUGUCACUUGAAAGUCACAAGAUUGCCAUCGUGAUGCUGUGCGUUUUAACCAGUAUUUUCUUAAAGCUAAAUAGGCCACUGCUUCCAAACAGGAUGGGGUAACUGAGCCAGGUUUACUCUCCAACAUGAAACAAAACUUGGAGAAAAUCCAACAGGACACCAGGGAAACAUUUGUGAAAAAUUCAUAUAAUGGCAUACUAUUUGGAAACAGGAAGGAAUGGAAUACCGAUACACUUGAAAACAUGGUUGAAUCUAGAAACAGUUAUGCUGAGUAAAAGAAGCUAGACACAAAAUAGUACCUACUGUAUAAUUGCAUGCAUACAAUGUUUUGAAACAAGCAAACAGAUCACCAUGGUAGAAAUCAGAAGAGUGGUAGUCUCUGCUAGCGAAAAGGAUCAAAUGUGAAAAGGCAAGAGGGAACUCCUACAUCUUGAUAGGCGUGUGGAUUACCCAGGUGUCCGCAUUGUCAAAAGUAAAACUAUAUAUUUAAAAUCAUUUAUUCAUUUUAAUGGAUAAAAAUUAUACCUCAAUUUUUUAAAGUUUCUCUAAAACGAUCUGUCGAAUGGCCCUUGAAUAGCAUUUAAACAUUUUAUUUUUUCUAAUAGCCAUUUUUGUGUAAUAGCUAAAAUGUUGAAUUAUUAGGAUUAUCUGCAAUUUUAACUUUAAUAUACCAUAAUAGCCCUGACUCAAAAUUAUCUCUGUGUGAAUAGCUUAUAU